UACGUAGGGGGCUAGCGUUGUCCGGAUUUAUUGGGCGUAAAGAGCGUGUAGGCGGCCAGGUAGGUCUGCUGUGAAAACUCGAGGCUCAACCUCGAGACGUCGGCGGAAACCAUCUGGCUAGAGUCCGGAAGAGGAGAGUGGAAUUCCUGGUGUAGCGGUGAAAUGCGCAGAUAUCAGGAAGAACACCCGUGGCGAAGGCGGCUCUCUGGGACGGUACUGACGCUGAGGAGCGAAAGCCAGGGGAGCAAAACGGG
rnacentral:rRNA from 1 species